rnacentral:rRNA from 1 species
GACGAACGCUGGCGGCGUGCCUAAUACAUGCAAGUCGAGCGGACGAAUCGAAAGCUUGCUUUUGAUUCGUUAGCGGCGGACGGGUGAGUAACACGUGGGCAACCUGCCCUGUAGACGGGGAUAACACCGAGAAAUCGGUGCUAAUACCGGAUAACACGAAAUGUCGCAUGACGUUUCGUUGAAAGACGGCGCAAGCUGUCGCUACAGGAUGGGCCCGCGGCGCAUUAGCUAGUUGGUGAGGUAACGGCUCACGAAGGCGACGAUGCGUAGCCGGCGUGAGAGGGUGAUCGGCCACGCUGGGACUGAGACACGGCCCAGAAUCCUACGGGAGUCAGCAGUAGGGAAUCUUCCGCAAUGGACGAAAGUUUGACGGAGCAACGCCGCGUGGGCGAAGAAGGCCUUCGGGUCGUAAAGCUCUGUUGUUAGGGAAGAACAAGUAACGCAGUAACUGGCGUUACCGUGACGGUACCUAACGAGAAAGCCACGGCUAACUACGUGCCAGCCGCCGCCGUAA